UGGCGGACGGGUGAGUAAUGUCUGGGAAACUGCCUGAUGGAGGGGGAUAACUACUGGAAACGGUAACUAAUACCGCAUAACGUCGCAAGACCAAAGAGGGGGACCUUCGGGCCUCUUGCCAUCGGAUGUGCCCAGAUGGGAUUAGCUAGUAGGUGGGGUAACGGCUCACCUAGGCGACGAUCCCUAGCUGGUCUGAGAGGACGACCAGCCACACUGGAACUGAGACACGGUCCAG
rnacentral:rRNA from 1 species